ACGAACGCUGGCGGCGUGCCUAAUGCAUGCAAGUCGCACGCAGAGUGCUUGCACUCUGAGUGGCGCACGGCUGAGGACCACGUGGGAACAUGCCCUUCAGUGGGGGACAACAGCGCGAAAGCGCUGCUAAUCCCGCAUACGCUUCGCAAGAAGGAAAGCGUGGCAACACGCGCUGGAGGAGUGGCCCGCGGCCCAUCAGGUCGUUGGUGGGGUAACGGCCUACCAAGCCAAUGACGGGUAGCUGGUCUGUGAGGACAGACAGCCAGACUGGGACUGAGACACGGCCCAGACUCCUACGGGAGGCAGCAGCAAGGAAUUUUCGUCAAGGGGGGAAACCCUGAAGGAGCGACGCCGCGUGGGGGAUGAAGGUCUUCGGAUUGUAAACCCCUGUCAUCCGGGAACAAUGCGAUCUACCUAACACGUGGAUCGUUGAUAGUACCGGAAGAGGAAGCCGUGGCUAACUCUGUGCCAGCAGCCGCGGUAAUACAGAGACGGCAAGCGUUGUUCGGAUUCAUUGGGCGUAAAGGGUGCGUAAGCGGUCCGUUAAGUCGGAUGUGAAAUCUCACAGCCUAACUGUGAGCGGUCAUUCGAAACUGGCGGGCUCGAGGACUGGAGAGGAGACUGGAAUGGUCGGUGUAGCGGUGAAAUGCGUAGAGAUCGACCAGAACACCCGUGGCGAAGGCGGGUCUCUGGACAGUUCCUGACGCUGAGGCACGAAAGCCAGGGGAGCAAACGGGAUUAGAUACCCCGGUAGUCCUGGCCCUAAACGGUGUUCACUUGGUGUGCGGGGAGUCGACCCCCUGCGUGCCGAAGCUAACGCGAUAAGUGAACCGCCUGGGGAGUACGGUCGCAAGGCUAAAACUCAAAGAAAUUGACGGGGGCCCGCACAAGCGGUGGAGCAUGUGGCUUAAUUCGAUGCAACGCGAAGAACCUUACCUGGCCUUGACAUCGAUCGUGACAGCCGGUGAAAGCCGGUGACGGCCCGAAAGGGUGCUGGGGAUCGACAGGUGCUGCAUGGUUGUCGUCAGCUCGUGUCGUGAGAUGUUGGCUUAAGUGCCGCAACGAGCGCAACCCCUGUGCUUAGUUACCCGGUUGCAAGUCCGGGGCCUCUAAGCAGACUGCCUCGCUUUAAACGAGGAGGAAGGUGGGGAUGACGUCAAAUCAGUAUGGCCUUUACGGCCAGGGCUGCACACGUGCUACAAUGCGCGGCACAGAGGGAUGCGAGACCGCGAGGUGGAGCCAAUCCCAGAAAACCGCGCUCAGUUCAGAUCGAAGGCUGCAACUCGCCUUCGUGAAGCUGGAAUCGCUAGUAAUGGCGCAUCAGCUACGGCGCCGGAAUACGU
rnacentral:rRNA from 1 species